rnacentral:rRNA from 1 species
UACGUAGGCAGCAAGCGUUGUUCGGAGUUACUGGGCGUAAAGGGUGCGUAGGCGGCCUUAUAAGUAUGGUGUGAAAUCUCCCGGCUUAACUGGGAGGGUGCGCUAUAGACUGUGGGGCUAGAGUGUGGGAGAGGAAAGUGGAAUUCCUGGUGUAGCGGUGAAAUGCGUAGAUAUCAGGAGGAACACCGGUGGUGUAAACGGCUUUCUGGACCAUAACUGACGCUGAGACACGAAAGCCAGGGGAGCGAACGGG